rnacentral:rRNA from 1 species
ACAUGCAAGGUCGAACGCGAAAGUCCUUCGGGGCGAGUAGAGUGGCGGACGGGCUGAGUAACGCGUGGGAAUCUACCUCGUAGUGGGGGACAACCCGGGGAAACUCGGGCUAAUACCGCAUACGUUCUACGGAAGAAAGGGGGCCUCUGCUUGCAAGCUCCCGCUACGAGAUGAUGCCCACGUCCGAUUAGCUAGUUGGUAGGGUAAAGGCCUACCAAGGCGACGAUCGGUAGCUGGUCUGAGAGGAUGACCAGCCACACUGGGACUGAGACACGGCCCAGACUCCUACGGGAGGCAGCAGUGGGGAAUAUUGGACAAUGGGCGCAAGCCUGAUCCAGCAAUGCCGCGUGUGUGAAGAAGGCCUGCGGGUUGUAAAGCACUUUCAGUGGGUNAUAAAAGCCUGGGGUGAAUAUCCCUGGGUCUUGACNUUACCUACANAANAAGCACCNGCUAACUCCUUGCCANCANC